UGGGGAAUAUUGCACAAUGGGCGAAAGCCUGAUGCAGCGACGCCGCGUGAGGGAUGACGGCCUUCGGGUUGUAAACCUCUUUCAGCAGGGAAGAAGCGAAAGUGACGGUACCUGCAGAAGAAGCACCGGCUAACUACGUGCCAGCAGCCGCGGUAAUACGUAGGGUGCGAGCGUUGUCCGGAAUUAUUGGGCGUAAAGAGCUUGUAGGCGGUUUGUCGCGUCUGCUGUGAAAAUCCGGGGCUCAACCCCGGACUUGCAGUGGGUACGGGCAGACUAGAGUAUGGUAGGGGAGACUGGAAUUCCUGGUGUAGCGGUGAAAUGCGCAGAUAUCAGGAGGAACACCGAUGGCGAAGGCAGGUCUCUGGGCCAUUACUGACGCUGAGAAGCGAAAGCAUGGGGAGCGAACAGG
rnacentral:rRNA from 2 species